rnacentral:rRNA from 1 species
CCUACGGGAGACAGCAGUGAGGAAUAUUGGUCAAUGGACGAGAGUCUGAACCAGCCAAGUAGCGUGAAGGAUGACUGCCCUAUGGGUUGUAAACUUCUUUUAUAUGGGAAUAAAACAGGGUAUGCAUACCCUCUUGUAUGUACCAUAUGAAUAAGGAUCGGCUAACGCCGUGCCAGCAGCCGCGGUAAUACGGAGGAUCCGAGCGUUAUCCGGAUUUAUUGGGUUUAAAGGGAGCGUAGGUGGAUUGUUAAGUCAGUUGUGAAAGUUUGCGGCUCAACCGGAAAAUUGCAGUUGAAACUGGCAGUCUUUAGUACAGUAGCGGUGUGCGGAAUUCGUGUUGUAGCGGU